GAAUGCAGUCGGCAGCAGCAGCGGCGUCACGAUCAAUUCCAUCCAGCGGUCGAUCGGAACGCGAUCCACGUAGCUGGCGCGCUGCGGCUGACGGGUGGCGAUGGCUUCGCGCAGCGCCGCGAUGAUCUCGGGAGAGCGCAGCGCGAACAGGGCCAGUUCGUUCUUGCGCAGCGCCGGCGCCAGUUGCGCCGCGGCGGUGUUGAAAUGCAGCACGCGCCCGGCGCGGUCGAGCAGCACGGCUGCAUCGGGCAUCCCGCCGACCAGCGCCUGCACCACCGGCGUUUCCGCGGGCCGCGCGCCGAUCAUGUCUUCGGUCGUCGGCACGGAUUGAUGCAGA
rnacentral:misc_RNA from 1 species